GGGUUGUGAGGUUAAGCGACUAAGCGUACACGGUGGAUGCCCUGGCAGUCAGAGGCGAUGAAGGACGUGCUAAUCUGCGAUAAGCGUCGGUAAGGUGAUAUGAACCGUUAUAACCGGCGAUUUCCGAAUGGGGAAACCCAGUGUGUUUCGACACACUAUCAUUAACUGAAUCCAUAGGUUAAUGAGGCGAACCGGGGGAACUGAAACAUCUAAGUACCCCGAGGAAAAGAAAUCAACCGAGAUUCCCCCAGUAGCGGCGAGCGAACGGGGAGCAGCCCAGAGCCUGAAUCAGUGUGUGUGUUAGUGGAAGCGUCUGGAAAGGCGCGCGAUACAGGGUGACAGCCCCGUACACAAAAAUGCACAUGCUGUGAGCUCGAUGAGUAGGGCGGGACACGUGGUAUCCUGUCUGAAUAUGGGGGGACCAUCCUCCAAGGCUAAAUACUCCUGACUGACCGAUAGUGAACCAGUACCGUGAGGGAAAGGCGAAAAGAACCCCGGCGAGGGGAGUGAAAAAGAACCUGAAACCGUGUACGUACAAGCAGUGGGAGCCUCUUUUAUGGGGUGACUGCGUACCUUUUGUAUAAUGGGUCAGCGACUUAUAUUCUGUAGCAAGGUUAACCGAAUAGGGGAGCCGAAGGGAAACCGAGUCUUAACUGGGCGUUAAGUUGCAGGGUAUAGACCCGAAACCCGGUGAUCUAGCCAUGGGCAGGUUGAAGGUUGGGUAACACUAACUGGAGGACCGAACCGACUAAUGUUGAAAAAUUAGCGGAUGACUUGUGGCUGGGGGUGAAAGGCCAAUCAAACCGGGAGAUAGCUGGUUCUCCCCGAAAGCUAUUUAGGUAGCGCCUCGUGAAUUCAUCUCCGGGGGUAGAGCACUGUUUCGGCAAGGGGGUCAUCCCGACUUACCAACCCGAUGCAAACUGCGAAUACCGGAGAAUGUUAUCACGGGAGACACACGGCGGGUGCUAACGUCCGUCGUGAAGAGGGAAACAACCCAGACCGCCAGCUAAGGUCCCAAAGUCAUGGUUAAGUGGGAAACGAUGUGGGAAGGCCCAGACAGCCAGGAUGUUGGCUUAGAAGCAGCCAUCAUUUAAAGAAAGCGUAAUAGCUCACUGGUCGAGUCGGCCUGCGCGGAAGAUGUAACGGGGCUAAACCAUGCACCGAAGCUGCGGCAGCGACGCUUAUGCGUUGUUGGGUAGGGGAGCGUUCUGUAAGCCUGCGAAGGUGUGCUGUGAGGCAUGCUGGAGGUAUCAGAAGUGCGAAUGCUGACAUAAGUAACGAUAAAGCGGGUGAAAAGCCCGCUCGCCGGAAGACCAAGGGUUCCUGUCCAACGUUAAUCGGGGCAGGGUGAGUCGACCCCUAAGGCGAGGCCGAAAGGCGUAGUCGAUGGGAAACAGGUUAAUAUUCCUGUACUUGGUGUUACUGCGAAGGGGGGACGGAGAAGGCUAUGUUGGCCGGGCGACGGUUGUCCCGGUUUAAGCGUGUAGGCUGGUUUUCCAGGCAAAUCCGGAAAAUCAAGGCUGAGGCGUGAUGACGAGGCACUACGGUGCUGAAGCAACAAAUGCCCUGCUUCCAGGAAAAGCCUCUAAGCAUCAGGUAACAUCAAAUCGUACCCCAAACCGACACAGGUGGUCAGGUAGAGAAUACCAAGGCGCUUGAGAGAACUCGGGUGAAGGAACUAGGCAAAAUGGUGCCGUAACUUCGGGAGAAGGCACGCUGAUAUGUAGGUGAAGUCCCUCGCGGAUGGAGCUGAAAUCAGUCGAAGAUACCAGCUGGCUGCAACUGUUUAUUAAAAACACAGCACUGUGCAAACACGAAAGUGGACGUAUACGGUGUGACGCCUGCCCGGUGCCGGAAGGUUAAUUGAUGGGGUUAGCGCAAGCGAAGCUCUUGAUCGAAGCCCCGGUAAACGGCGGCCGUAACUAUAACGGUCCUAAGGUAGCGAAAUUCCUUGUCGGGUAAGUUCCGACCUGCACGAAUGGCGUAAUGAUGGCCAGGCUGUCUCCACCCGAGACUCAGUGAAAUUGAACUCGCUGUGAAGAUGCAGUGUACCCGCGGCAAGACGGAAAGACCCCGUGAACCUUUACUAUAGCUUGACACUGAACAUUGAGCCUUGAUGUGUAGGAUAGGUGGGAGGCUUUGAAGUGUGGACGCCAGUCUGCAUGGAGCCGACCUUGAAAUACCACCCUUUAAUGUUUGAUGUUCUAACGU
rnacentral:rRNA from 1 species